rnacentral:rRNA from 1 species
UACGUAGGGUGCAAGCGUUUGUCCGGAAUUAUUGGGCGUAAAGAGCUCGUAGGCGGUCUGUCACGUCGGCUGUGAAAACCCGAGGCUCAACCUCGGGCCUGCAGUCGAUACGGGCAGACUAGAGUUCGGUAGGGGAGACUGGAAUUCCUGGUGUAGCGGUGAAAUGCGCAGAUAUCAGGAGGAACACCGGUGGCGAAGGCGGGUCUCUGGGCCGAUGACUGACGCUGAGGAGCGAAAGCAUGGGUAGCGAACAGG